rnacentral:rRNA from 1 species
UACGUAGGGUGCGAGCGUUGUCCGGAAUUACUGGGCGUAAAGAGCUCGUAGGCGGUUUGUCGCGUCGUCCGUGAAAACUUGGGGCUCAACCCCAAGCUUGCGGGCGAUACGGGCAGACUUGAGUACUGCAGGGGAGACUGGAAUUCCUGGUGUAGCGGUGAAAUGCGCAGAUAUCAGGAGGAACACCGGUGGCGAAGGCGGGUCUCUGGGCCGUUACUGACGCUGAGGAGCGAAAGCGUGGGGAGCGAACAGG